AUGAACGCUAGCUACAGGCUUAACACAUGCAAGUCGAGGGGCAGCAUGAGCUUAGCUUGCUAAGCUUGAUGGCGACCGGCGCACGGGUGAGUAACACGUAUCCAACCUCCCGCUUACUCAGGAAUAGCCUUUCGAAAGAAAGAUUAAUGCCUGAUGGUAUCUUAAGCACACAUGUAAUUAAGAUUAAAGAUUUAUCGGUAAGCGAUGGGGAUGCGUUCCAUUAGGUAGUAGGCGGGGUAACGGCCCACCUAGCCGACGAUGGAUAGGGGUUCUGAGAGGAAGGUCCCCCACAUUGGAACUGAGACACGGUCCAAACUCCUACGGGAGGCAGCAGUGAGGAAUAUUGGUCAAUGGGCGCGAGCCUGAACCAGCCAAGUAGCGUGAAGGAUGAAGGUCCUACGGAUUGUAAACUUCUUUUAUACGGGAAUAAAGUGGCCUACGUGUAGGCUUUUGCAUGUACCGUAUGAAUAAGCAUCGGCUAACUCCGUGCCAGCAGCCGCGGUAAUACGGAGGAUGCGAGCGUUAUCCGGAUUUAUUGGGUUUAAAGGGAGCGUAGACGGGGGAUUAAGUCAGUUGUGAAAGUUUGCGGCUCAACCGUAAAAUUGCAGUUGAUACUGGUUCCCUUGAGUGCAGUUGAGGCAGGCGGAAUUCGUGGUGUAGCGGUGAAAUGCAUAGAUAUCACGAAGAACCCCGAUUGCGAAGGCAGCCUGCUAAGCUGUAACUGACGUUGAGGCUCGAAAGUGUGGGUAUCAAACAGGAUUAGAUACCCUGGUAGUCCACACGGUAAACGAUGGAUACUCGCUGUUGGCGAUAUACUGUCAGCGGCCAAGCGAAAGCAUUAAGUAUCCCACCUGGGGAGUACGCCGGCAACGGUGAAACUCAAAGGAAUUGACGGGGACCCGCACAAGCGGUGGAGCAUGUGGUUUAAUUCGAAGCAACGCGAAGAACCUUACCUGCUCUUGACAUCCCACUGACAGGUCAGUAAUGUGACCCUUUCUUCGGAACAGUGGAGACAGGUGGUGCAUGGUUGUCGUCAGCUCGUGCCGUGAGGUGUCGGCUUAAGUGCCAUAACGAGCGCAACCCUCGUGGCCAGUUACUAUCAGGUAAGGCUGAGGACUCUGGCCAGACUGCCAUCGUAAGAUGCGAGGAAGGUGGGGAUGACGUCAAAUCAGCACGGCCCUUACGUCCGGGGCUACACACGUGUUACAAUGGGAGGUACAGAAGGCAGCUACCCGGCGACGGGAUGCCAAUCCCGAAAGCCUCUCUCAGUUCGGACUGGAGUCUGCAACCCGACUCCACGAAGCUGGAUUCGCUAGUAAUCGCGCAUCAGCCACGGCGCGGUGAAUACGUUCCCGGGCCUUGUACACACCGCCCGUCAAGCCAUGAAAGCCGGGGGUACCUGAAGUGCGUAACCGCAAGGAGCGCCCUAGGGUAAAACCGGUAAUUGGGGCU
rnacentral:rRNA from 1 species